rnacentral:rRNA from 1 species
GACAGAGGUGCCGAGCGUUAGGCGGAAUCACUGGGCUUAAAGCGUGUGUAGGCGGACUUCUAAGUACCUUGUGAAAUCCCACGGCUCAACCGUGGAACUGCUUGGUAUACUGGUUGUCUUGAGCCACUUAGGGGCAGUCGGAACAGACGGUGGAGCGGUGAAAUGCGUAGAUAUGUGGAGGAACACCGAUGGCGAAGGCAGUCCCCUGGGUCAACACUGACGCUCAUGCACGAAAGCGUGGGGAGCAAACAGG